AUUGAACGCUGGCGGCAGGCCUAACACAUGCAAGUCGAACGAGUGGCGGACGGGUGAGUAAUGUCUGUGAAACUGCCCGAUGGAGGGGGAUAACUACUGGAAACGGUAGCUAAUACCGCGUACCAUCGCGUGUGCCCAGAUGGGAUUAGCUUGUAGGGGAGGUAACGGCUCACCUAGGCGACGAUCCCUAGCUGGUCUGAGAGGAGGACCAGCCACACUGGGACUGAGACACGGUCCAGACUCCUACGGGAGGCAGCAGUGGGGAAUAUUGCACAAUGGGCGCAAGCCUGAUACAGCCAUGCCGCGUGUAUGAAGAAGGCCUUAGGGUUGUAAAGGACUUUCAGCGGGGAGGCGUUACCAACAGAAUAAGCACCGGCUAACUUCGUGCCAGCAGCCGCGGUAAUUC
rnacentral:rRNA from 1 species